rnacentral:lncRNA from 1 species
GUGCCAAACAGAAAUCCACUUGCUUUCUAUUUAUUUCUUUAGCUAUGAAUUGUUGUCUUGUAAUUAUGAAUUAAUACAUACAACAAUGAAAACAUAUAUAAAACAGUGAACAGAUCAUUAUAUCAACUUUUUGUAAAGUAUCAUAAAAUGCCUAAUCACUCGUGUAUUAAGAAUGCAAUUUUUUUAAAGUAUUCUUUUACUUAUAUGUGGGUAAAAUUGAUGUAGACACAAUUGAUGAGAUAUAUCAGUAUUGUUCAUGUUUUAAUUCAACAAGAUUCUAUAUUUACAUUAAACAUAAUGGAAUCUUGAUGUUAAGUUAACAAGGAUGACUUAUUGUUUGUAGAUUUUAACCUCAAUGAGAUAAUGAUUAAAUCUAUAUAUGUAAGUUUAUAACUGAACAAGUGCUAUUAAUUGAAUUUUGACAAAGGGUUUAAACUUGUCAUGUUCAAGUAGGAAAUAUUGAUGAUAACUUUGAAUUCUUUGAUAUUAGUGAUAGGUUUAAACCUCCAAUAGCUAAUUAUGCAUUUUAUGUUAUGUUUAAACUAACCAUGUACUAUAAGGAAUCUUGAUAUCAGGGUUAAACUUGUCAUGUACAAGGAUAAAACUCCAAGAGCUAAUGAUGAAAUGUUUUCGUUAGCUUAAACUCACCAAGUACUAUUAUGGUAUCUUUGCAUCAGGUGUAAACUCGUCAUGUACAAAGAUGAACUAUUGAUGUUCACUAUUAUAUCUUAGAUGAAUGUAGGUAUAAACCUUUUAGAGUAAAUAAUGAAAUAUGUUCUAUAAAUUUAAACUCUAUCAUUUUGAUUGCAUAGGUUUAAACUGGGCUAGUUAUAUGAUGAAACUUUGAUAGUAGGUUUCAACUCACUAUGUACUAUUAAUGUUAAUGAUUUUCAUCCUUACUUCAGUAUCUGUCAUAUAUACACUACUUUUCAAUGCAAUACUUAAACUAAGUCAGGUUUUUUUGUGCAAUACAACAAGUCACAUGGCUACACGUUUUAUGUCAGAUUAAUCAAUUUAUUUGUCAGAUUUUGUUAGUUAUAUUAUUUUUAGUUUUGAUAUCUAAUUU